AGUUUGGUGGGGAAGAUGACAGAUGACAAGGAUUCUCUGCCUAAGCUUAAGGACCUGGCAUUUCUCGAGAACCAGCUGGAUUGCCUGCAGCGGCACAUGGAAGACAAAGUCAACAGCAGAGGUGGCUGGGAUGGCUCGCUAUUGUCCUCCCCAUUCCUCAAGGGAUUCCUGGCUGGCUGUGGUGGCCAAACUGAAGACAUCAGCUGUAUUGGGCUUUGCAAGGGGCACCUGCGCUGGCAAUCUGUGCAGCUCAGGCUAUGCUGUGCCCAACAUGGAGAUGACAUUGAAAGACUGACUAUUUGCAGUCACUAUGCAAGAGCCCGAAUAGCUCUAGAUGCUAUGAGGGAGGCAGAAUAAGGAGCUGGGGCCUGCAGAGUGUGCACAGCACCUUGUCAGCCUGCACCCUAGAUUCCUUCUUCCCUCUCCUAACUCCGUCAGACUGGCCCCAAGACUGUGGCUUCAAGGGCCACCAGUCCCUUACUCUUCAAGCCCUGACUAUGGAGUUGGCAGAUGACUCUGAUCCUCAGUAUCCUCUCUGGCAAUGUUCCACGGCUCCUCCCUACUGGGAGGUGGCUCCAUAA